rnacentral:lncRNA from 1 species
AGUCAGGAUCGAGGGAAAGCUGAACGGAGCAAAGUACAAAGAGAUCCUUGAUAAAAACCUGCACUGGAGCGCCCAGGACCUCAGACGGGGGUGAAAGUUCACCUUCCAACAGGACAAAGCAGGAGUGGCUUCGGGACCAGCCUCAAUGUCCUUGAGUGGCCCAGCCAGAGCCUGGACUUGAACAUCUCUCUCUCUGUGGCCCAGCAAGAUCCUGGACUCUCUCUCGCUCUCUCAGAGAAAGAGAGAGAUCAAUCGGGUCCGGGCUUUGGCUGGGACACUCAAGGAGAGAGAGAGACCUGAAAAUAGCUGUGCAAUGACGCUCCCCAUCCAACCCAAGAGCCUGAGAGGAUCUGCACAGAAGAUUGGGAGAAACUCCCUUAAUACAGGUGUGCCAAGCUUGUAGCAUCAUACCCAAGAAGACUCCAAUUUGUACACAUUUCUAAAAACUAGUUUUUGCUUUGUCAUUAUGGGUAUUGUGUGUAGAUUGAUGAGGGGAAAAUACUAUUUCAUGCAUUUUAGAACAAGGCUGUAGCAUAACAAAAUGUGGAAAAAGCCAAGGGGUCUGAAUACUUCCCGAAUGCACUGUAGUUCCAAGUCAACACAAACCCUUGAUCAAGGGAAAAAACAAGCAUUCGAAGCCUAGUUCAGAUUUAACAAUGGCCAAAGGUGAGAUUUGUGCACAGGUGUGUCGCGGUAUCAAGGUAUUUCCUGUUGCACGUAAUGUGUAACCACCUCGAUGUGUACUGUAAAUGUACUUUCUCACAAUGGCGGCCCAAGAGGAACUAUUUCAAAUGAAAAUCAUUACAGAGCUGUCCAAUCAAGCUGUCCAUGAGUAUGAGGGUCUUCAGAGGGAGCACGAGAGAGCCACCAUGGAGUGUCAACGGAUGGAGGCAGAGAGAGACGAGGCAAUCAAAAGGCUUGAAGAGUUUCAAAAAGGUGAGAACAUUUAAAAAAAAUGUUUUAGUCAAAUCCAUCUUUCGUCAAAGAUGAUUGAUCUAAUAUUGAUCUGAUAUUCUUACAUAUAAGGUUGCUAUUGUUUUCCUCCUGGUAACAUAUGCAUAAUUGGAAACAAGUCAGGGAUUGUACAGA